rnacentral:lncRNA from 1 species
GGAGAGUCUGUCACUUCAUUUGUGCUGGGAUAGACACCUUGGCAAAACCCACUAAUGGAAACGCAUCCUAUGCCAAUGAGAGGAGACUUCCUGGCCGCACAGCUCUGCUGUCUCCCUCGGUGGUGUAGGCAGAGCUGACAAAAGCACCCUUCUGUUGCCAUCACCGUGCCGAUACCCUGGGUCUGUGAGUGUAGGGGAUUUCCUGUGUGGUGUGCAGCCUUUAUUGUGCCAGACAUAUUGCCAACUCAUGCAACUUUAGUCCGAGCCUCGUGAUUGCUGGAAGUAUUCACAGAGACCAAACGCUGGACCAUAAAACUUAGAAAGAAUCUCAGCUUUCUUUUAAGAAAAAAAAAGAUCCUAGACCCCAUGCUUGUAGAAGAAAGAUUGCAAAAGCUGAAGACUACAAAUCCAAAAGGUAAAUGCAAAGACACAAAAUGAAUUACUUUAAAUAUAUUUCAUACGUUUAAAGCUAAUUGCAUCCUUUUGAGGCCUGAGCUGUGAUUUCUGAAUGUUUGGAGCUGGC